UGGGAACUUGAUUUGGUUAAGGUUUAGCCCUUUGCUAGGUGCUGGAAAUUGGAGAAUUAAAGACCAUCAUUCUAAGGAGAAGACAAGGCCAAAGCCGAAACAAGCAUUCUUGAAAAAAAAACACUACAAACACUUGGAAGAUCAACAAGCAAAGACAACAAGGAAGUGCACUAACCAAAAAGAGGAUCAACAAAGGGAGUUCUCUUAUUUCCUUUGCAA
rnacentral:lncRNA from 1 species